rnacentral:rRNA from 1 species
UCACCAGACUCCUACGGGAGGCAGCAGUGGGGAAUAUUGCACAAUGGGGGGAACCCUGAUGCAGCGACGCCGCGUGGGUGAAGGAGUACUUCGGUACGUAAAGCCCUAUCAGCAGGAAAGAAAAUGACGGUACCUGACUAAGAAGCCCCGGCUAACUACGUGCCAGCAGCCGCGGUAAUACGUAGGGGGCAAGCGUUAUCCGGAUUUACUGGGUGUAAAGGGAGCGUAGGCGGCCAUGCAAGCCAGGGGUGAAAGCCCGGGGCCCAACCCCGGGACUGCCCUUGGAACUGUGCGGCUAGAGUGCGGGAGGGGCAGGCGGAAUUCCUGGUGUAGCGGUGAAAUGCGUAGAUAUCAGGAGGAACACCGGCGGCGAAGGCGGCCUGCUGGACCGCGACUGACGUUGAGGCUCGAGAGCGUGGGGAGCAAACAGGAUUAGAUACCCUGGUACU